GCGCAACCCUUGUCCUUAGUUACCAGCACGUUAUGGUGGGCACUCUAAGGAGACUGCCGGUGACAAACCGGAGGGAAGGUGGGGAUGACGUCAAGUCAUCAUGGCCCUUACGGCCUGGGCUACACACGUGCUACAAUGGUCGGUACAAAGGGUUAGCCAAGCCGCGAGGUGGAGCUAAAUCCCAUAAAACCGAUCGUAGUCCGGAUCGCAGUCUGCAACUCGACUGCGUGAAGUCGGAAUCGCUAGUAAUCGUGAAUCAGAAUGGUCACGGUGAAUACGUUCCCGGGCCUU
rnacentral:rRNA from 1 species